GUGGAUUAGAUACCCUAGUAGUCCACGCCGUAAACGAUGAUAACUAGCUGUCCGGGUUCAUAGAACUUGGGUGGCGCAGCUAACGCAUUAAGUUAUCCGCCUGGGGAGUACGGUCGCAAGAUUAAAACUCAAAGGAAUUGACGGGGGCCUGCACAAGCGGUGGAGCAUGUGGUUUAAUUCGAAGCAACGCGCAGAACCUUACCAGCGUUUGACAUCCUGAUCGCGGAUUAGAGAGAUCUUUUCCUUCAGUUCGGCUGGAUCAGUGACAGGUGCUGCACGGUCGUCGCCAACU
rnacentral:rRNA from 1 species